rnacentral:rRNA from 1 species
UACGAAGGGGGCUAGCGUUGCUCGGAAUCACUGGGCGUAAAGCGCACGUAGGCGGAUUGUUAAGUCGGGGGUGAAAUCCUGGAGCUCAACUUCAGAAUUGCCUUCGAUACUGGCUUUCUAGAGGCUGGAAGAGGUUAGUGGAAUUCCCAGUGUAGAGGUGAAAUUCGUAGAUAUUGGGAAGAACACCAGUGGCGAAGGCGGCUAACUGGUCCAGAUCUGACGCUGAGGUGCGAAAGCGUGGGGAGCAAACAGG